AUUGAACGCUGGCGGCAUGCCUUACACAUGCAAGUCGAACGGUAACGCGGGGUAACCUGGCGACGAGUGGCGAACGGGUGAGUAAUGCAUCGGAACGUGCCCAGUAGUGGGGGAUAGCCCGGCGAAAGCCGGAUUAAUACCGCAUACGACCUACGGGUGAAAGGGGGGGAUCGAAAGACCUCUCGCUAUUGGAGCGGCCGAUGUCAGAUUAGGUAGUUGGUGGGGUAAAGGCCUACCAAGCCUACGAUCUGUAGCUGGUCUGAGAGGACGACCAGCCACACUGGGACUGAGACACGGCCCAGACUCCUACGGGAGGCAGCAGUGGGGAAUUUUGGACAAUGGGCGCAAGCCUGAUCCAGCCAUGCCGCGUGCGGGAAGAAGGCCUUCGGGUUGUAAACCGCUUUUGUCAGGGAAGAAAAGCUCCGAGUUAAUACCUCGGGGUAAUGACGGUACCUGAAGAAUAAGCACCGGCUAACUACGUGCCAGCAGCCGCCGUAA
rnacentral:rRNA from 1 species